CGGGCAGAGGGUGGGGGCGUGGCAGGCCCCGGGAGCGCGCGCGCUCAGCCAACUUCCAGUGCGACGCCGCCCUAGCCGCCGUUCGCGCCUGGGUGGCUGCGAGGACGUCGUCUGGGUUUCGGCCAAUGGCCAGCGCCCACGUCGGGGGAACGCCUCGUGACCGCGCGUCACCGGAGAAAAAGGCUUGUUUCCCUUUCUUCUUGCGCUCCUUUUCCCCUCCCCCACGUGGGCCUCUAGCUUUCCAUUACCAAAUUCAUUUCAUUCCCGUGCGUGAAUAAAACCACACUUUUCUCUUGUACUUUAUGGUUGCAAGAAAGCCCCCUCGGUGUCUUCUCGCGGGUUUCAAAAUGCCAGAAACUGGUGUGUGUCUGACUGCGAUGCCCACUGUGAGGGCGCGCACUGAAAAUUCCUGUGACACCGAUUGUGUGUAUCUUGAGCACCUUGGAAAGACCUUAAAACGCGCGGCUGACACUGAAAUUUCAUCCUUAACAGCUGAGGCAGGAGCGUUCGAGUUGGAAAGCCAGACUGUUGAAAUGAAGGAAGGAAGUCUACAGUUUCUUAUCGCCUUCUUAUCAUCAUGAGGAGCCCCAGAAUUGGAGCCAACUGGGAGGGAAGCAGAGCCAAUAGAUCACAAGCAAAAGACCAAGUCCUGAUGACAAACAUUUGUGCUCCUUGAUCAAGCACAUGAUGGCACCUUUUGAAAUAUCGAGAAAUACAUGUGUUGAACAUGAAUCUUGGACUGCGAUUGCUUCAAAGGUAUCUUGUACAACUUGAUUUUCUAUGAUAACGAUUACUCAGGUAAAAAUAUACUGCUGGAGUUCCCUUCGUGGCUCAGCAGUUAAUGAACCCAAUUAGGAUCCAUAAGGAUGUGGGUUUGAUCCCUGGCCUCUCUCAGUGAGCUAAGGAUCCUGUGUUGUUGUGGCUGUGGUGUAAGCCGUUAGCUACAGCUCCGAUUCAUUUGACCCCUAGCCUGGGAACCUCCAUAUGCCGUGGGUGUGGCCAUAAAAAACAAAAUAUGAUACCACUAAAUGGUCCUUUGAUUCUGGUAUUUCGUUUUCAAAUUUGUUAGAAUUAGUUAUAAUUCUGUAACUCGUACUCUAGAGACUAGACAUUUUCUUCCAAGGUUUCUUUGCACAUUUCUUGAAUUGUGAUUCCUCUUCUGACUUUGAAAUAUUCAAAAUUCUCCCAAUAAUAGGGGAAAGAUGGAGUUACAAAGAUUAGUGUAAGCAUUUCUUACAUUGCUUUCACUGUGGAGUGUAAUCGCAACAUCUCACAUAUAUGCCAAAGUCAGAUUCAGAUAUGGUUUCUAUUACUUAGUCUCUUGUCCUUCAUUUCUCAUGUAGUAUUUGCCAGCUAGGCAAAGAGCUGGCAAAAGGAAAUUCCAACACUUAAAAUAUGUACUUUUGGCAAAGGAUUGAGAUUUUCCCAGAUUCAUAGUGUUCUUCCUUUAAGUAUACUUGAAGAAAACCAAACGUCCAUUUCUAAGAGUCAAGUCCUUGGCAGAGACAUUAUUUAUGGCCUAAGAACAUCAUAAAUGCCAUAGAUUCUUUAUUUAAAUACUCCUUGAAUAGUGUUGCUUCUAAGAAGCUAGAGACCAGAGGUGAAGGGAAGAAGAACAAACUUCUGGGAAGGAUGAGGUCAAUUUUCCAGAGUUUGGAAGGAUUUUGUCAAUUUACAACUAACUCAUGCCUAAUGAUAAUCACCACUAUUAUUCUCAGCAAAAUAAGAUACAGAGCAGUUGGCUACAAGUUAUCUAUGUUUUCUAAAGAAAUAACAAAUAUAGAAAGCACAGGGAAAUCCUGUACCUAACAGAAGAAUCUAUUUGGGAACUAGAUAUCACAAAAUAGAUCUGGGAAAAAUGGUUUUCAAGUUGUUCUGUGUUCUCUGAAUUACAGAGAUUGAAAGUGAAACAAUGUUAAUGGUAGCUUGCAUAAAAGGAGACUAAACAAUGGCCAAAUAAUUUUGGAAGACUAGAUUGAGAAUCUUUUGUCUCACUUUGGCAUUUUUCCUGGUCCUACAUUGCUGUGAUAUGACUAUGUCAUUUCCUUGCUCUGCUUUGCUCUCAGUUUUGCAUACUGUAUAUUAUGGGUGGAAUUGUGUUUCCCCCACCAAAAAAUCUGUCCAAGUCCUAACCCCUCAGAACAUGACCUGAUUGGGAAAUGUGCCCUUUACAGAAGUAACCGAGUUAAAAUGAAGUCAUUAGGAUGGGCCCUAAUCCAAUAUGACAAAUAUCUUUAUAUAAAAAGAUUUGGACCUAGAGGUAGAUAUACAUGGAGGGAAGAUGAUGUAAACACACAAAAGAGAAGAUGGCCAUUGGGAUUAUUGGAGACAGGGAUUGGUUGUGACAAGGCAAGGUAUACCUGGGGCCACCAGAAGCUAAGGUGAGAGCCAUGGAACAGAUUUGCCCUCAUAGCUCUUAAAAGGAAGCAAUUGAUUUUGGACUUCUAGUCUCCAGAACUAUGAGAAAAUAAAUCUCAUUUAAACCAUUCAGUUUAUGGUACUUUGUUAUGGCAGCCCUAGGAAAUUAAUAUACUGUACUUAUACCAAACCUAGGAGCUUUCAAUGUUUCAUCCAAUCCUUUGCUGCCUAUUGGGAAGUAAAAUUUCAGACCCUCCUAAAUGCCUUUCCCUCUAUCCUCCACCCAGUUUCUUCUGCACAACUGUAGAUGAAUGGCAGGUAAAAGUAGUCCCUAUUGGGAGGAUUCUCACUUGUUCAGAAAGGUUGAAUUGUGUAAGUGAUGUGAAUUGCAUGAGAAUUGUGAUGCAGAUUACUUCAUGUCAGGACCAGUAAAACCUUAGACCUUAAGUAUCUCCCUGAUGAAGGAAUAUUGACAGAUCUUAACUUUGGGGAUGGUGUUGUGAUAAUAACCAAUUCAAAGUAGAAUAUUGCUUCUCUUCAAAGAAGAUUCUAAACAGGGAGUCAAUAACAUGAAACUUCAUGUCAUCUAGUCCAAAAUGUAAUACUAGCUCGGGCAUUGACUAAUCAAGAUUGUCUUGCCCCUUGUGUUCUUGUGUUGGGAAAUAACUUAGUUCAGUAUCUUUAAGAUUUAUUCACCUUGUAUUUGCACUGAUCACAUUCAUUGAACUGCAGACUGGAGCCAAGAACAGUAUUUUGAAGCUGCAAUGGUGAUAGGCAGACUGUGUUUCAGUCUUUGGAGUAAAUCCAGCCAUCUUAAAUAUUGAAGUGUUUCUUUAUGACACUCUGGAGACAUUUGCAUCAUGCUGUAUUCUUUGUGAUAUGCUGAGCCCAGCCAUUACAUUUGAAUUCUUUUCUAAAAUAGGUACAAUAUCUUAGUAAAAAUUACUUGAAAAACUGAUGUGAAUAAAUGACAGAAAAUUCCCAUGUAGACAUUUUAAAAAUAUAAAUAAAUUGUAUCUGGUGGGAUGGAAAAUAUAAAUAUUUUGACAUAACACAUAUUUUUAUUUAAGCCUAGUUUAUAUAUCUACAGAGAAGAGAUUGGGGCUUUAAGAUUCAUUUGCAGAGUUCCUGUCAUGGCUUAGUGGUUAACGAA